rfam:Sorghum bicolor cultivar BTx623 chromosome 8, whole genome shotgun sequence.
GUUGUCGGAUUCAUUUCAAUCCAUGUGUGUUGGUGUGGAUUGAAGUGGAAUUUAGUUCAAAUUUCAUUCUAAUCCACCUCAACACACGUGGAUUGAUGUGAAUCCGACU